CAGGGAGCCACUGUUAUAGAGGCUGAAAAUUCUAUCAAAAACUGGCUCAAAUAUAGUUGUGACCGGAGUGGAGGGAGAAAAGAGAGAGCUGCUCAAAAAGAAAAACAGAAAUCAUUGCCUCACCCCAUCUCUUUGAGCAGCUCUGACAGUGAAUGAGAAUGCUACAAGAAGUCAGAACUGGGAGUACACUACAUACAUUCAAC